rnacentral:ncRNA from 1 species
CCUGUUGUUCAGCCAACAGUAGCCUAGGGAUAGUGCAUCUGCGGUAACGCGGUGUGCGGAGCUUCCUGACAAUGUACCCCCACGCAAGUGGUUAAUUUUCGCUGCGAAGUGAAGGUUAAGACAAUCGCCAAUAGCAGGUGGUUUAGGGG